rnacentral:siRNA from 1 species
UUGGUGGUAGUAGCAAAUA